CCUACGGGAGGCAGCAGUGGGGAAUAUUGCACAAUGGGGGAAACCCUGAUGCAGCGACGCCGCGUGAGUGAAGAAGUAAUUCGGUAUGUAAAGCUCUAUCAGCAGGGAAGAAAAUGACGGUACCUGACUCAGAAGCCCCGGCUAACUACGUGCCAGAAGCCGCGGUACUACGUAGGGGGCAAGCGUUAUCCGGAUUUACUGGGUGUAAAGGGUGUGUAGACGGCAGUGCAAGUAUGGAGUGAAAGGCGGGGGCUCAACCCCCGGACUGCUGUGGAAACUGUACGGCGGGAGUGCAGGAGAGGUAAGUGGAAUGCGUGGUGUAGCGGUGAAAUGCGUAGAUAUUAGGAGGAACACCAGUGGCGAAGGCAGCUUGCUGGACUGUAACUGACGUUGAGGCUCGAAAGCGUGGGGAGCAAACAGGAUUAGAUACCCGAGUAGUC
rnacentral:rRNA from 1 species